UAGGGAAUAUUGCACAAUGGGCGAAAGCCUGAUGCAGCAACGCCGCGUGCGCGACGAAGGCCUUCGGGUUGUAAAGCGCUUUUCGGGGAGAUGAGGAAGGACAGUAUCCCCGGAAUAAGGCUCGGCUAACUACGUGCCAGCAGCCGCGGUAAAACGUAGGAGUCAAGCGUUAUCCGAAUUCACUGGGCGUAAAGCGCGUGCAGGCGGCCUGGUAAGUUGGAUGUGAAAUCUCCUGGCUCAACUGGGAGAGGACGUUCAAUACUGUCGGGCUAGAGGAUGGCAGAGGGAGGUGGAAUUCCCGGUGUAGUGGUGAAAUGCGUAGAUAUCGGGAGGAACACCAGUGGCGAAGGCGGCCUUCUGGGCCAUAACUGACGCUCAGACGCGAAAGCUAGGGGAGCGAACG
rnacentral:rRNA from 1 species